AUCAUCAAACUAUACUUUACUUUAAUACUCUGCAUGUAAUCAACAUCCUUAGCGACAUAAUUAUUUUAUCUUUGACCGAGUAUGAGGUUGUGGGAUUACUUCAUGCAUUGGAACAGUAUCCCGUGCAAUGAAGCCAAACUGAAUCCUAUACAUUCUGUGCUCUCAGCAAGAUACAGGGUUUUGAGCAGACAAGAAUAAAGAUUAAAUAAAUGGAUAGACUAUCUGAACUACAAAUGCAUACCUACUGUAUACAGAUUAAUCAAGAAUAAUUCUUAUAGAAAGUAUACCUGAAUAUUUUGAUCAAUUUUAUAAAGUUAGCUGAGCUAUAUAUAUACACAAAUAAAGAUGACAUCCUUAGACAAAUUUGAAGGUCUCAAUCAUCAAAGUAAAGUAUGGAUUUGUAUCAGA